GUGUACACAAGCCCUUUAUCACAGUAGCAUAGAUGCACUGGAGGUCAUGUCUGAUCAGGAGUUAAAAGAGUUGUUUAAAGAAGCUCCAUUUUCUGAAUUUUUUCUCGAUCCUGGAACAAGUGUCCUAGAUACUUGCCGCAAAGCAAAUGCCAUUCCAGAUGGUCCCCGAGGGUAUCGAAUGAUAACAGAAGGCGGAGUCAGCAUAAAUCACCAACAAGUAACAAAUCCUGAGAGUGUUUUAAUUGUUGGACAACAUAUUCUCAAGAAUGGACUUUCCUUACUUAAAAUAGGAAAAAGAAAUUUCUACAUUAUAAAAUGGCUUCAGUUAUGAUGAAAAGUCCUUCUGGUUGUCCAAAUAAACUUACCCAUCAUUCAUUCUCAAGACCUCUGAAGGGUUGGCUCCAGAACUUAGACCUUUGCUUAUGCAAAUCAGAAAAACAGAAUGGACUAGGACUCAGUAGAUAGGGUCUCUUUUUUUAGCGCCAUCUG
rnacentral:sRNA from 1 species